rnacentral:rRNA from 1 species
GAUGAACGCUGGCGGCGUGCCUAAUACAUGCAAGUCGAGCGAAAGGACGAUAAGAUCGCUCUCCUGAUGUUAGCGGGGGGCGGGCGAGUAACACAUGGAUAACCUACUUCUUUUACUUGGAUAAUAUCGGGGAAAAGGUGACAAUACUAGCUCAUAUUUUCAACGGGAUGGUUCAAAAGUGCAACACGGCUUUGCUGUUACAUUUAGCCGGAUUCGCGCUGCAUUAGCUAGUUGGUAAGGUAACGGCCUACCAAGGCGACGAUGCAUAGCCGACCUGAGAGGGUGAUCGGCCACACUGGAACUGAGACACGGUCCAGACUCCUACGGGAGGCAGCAGUAGGGAAUAUUGGGCAAUGGGCGAAAGCCUGACGCAGCAACGCCGCGUGAGUGAAGAAGGCCUUCGGGUUGUAAAACUCUGUUAUUGGGAAAGAAAAGAAGCGUGAUUAACUGUGGAUAUCUUGACGGUACCUAAACAGAAAGCCACGGCUAACUACGUG